rnacentral:lncRNA from 1 species
CAUAUUCAAACUACCACAGUGACCAAAAGGGACCUGGGCUCAGAUUUCUAUACCUAGGAUCUUAAGCAUCAUCAUCUGGUAAACUCUAGGCCACGGACACUUCCCUGCAGCAACCCAUUUCUACUUUCCCAGUGUAGUUUGAAAUCGGUGCCGCAUCCAUUACCUUUAUGAGCAUUUUGUCCUUUAUGAGCAAAAGCAGCUGAUGAAGACUUACUGCUAAACCUUCUCCACUAUGAUAAUGCUGAGGUGGCACCUCUGGAGUCAGUGCUAGUUCCCACAGCGUAAGACUCUGAAGCGUUUUCCUGGUGGAUUACAGCUCCAUCCAUAUUCCUUUCACCACAAGCUAGGAUUGGUUGGAUUUCAAGACCUGAACUUGGAGGAGAAUCACAAGUUUUGGAUUCAAAGUUCGGCAGAGAGAGAAGCCGAUGAUUCUUCGGAUUUUUGCUGACCCCGAGAUCAAGAUGUAGAGCUCUCAACUCCUUCUCCAGCAUCAUGUCUGCCUGGAUUCUGUCAUGCUUCCCGCCAUGAUGAUUAUGGACUAAACCUUUGAAACUAUGGGCAUGUCUGUGUCAGCCACCUUGGGUCCUUACUUCUGUGCUUAGACAAGACAACAACAGUUCCAGGUCCUGUGGGAACGGCAGCAAGAAGAAUCAAGAGUAUCUCUGUCCGUUUUCAAAGAUGAUACACUUGGAGAAACCGUGAGUCGCUGGAGGUCAGUUGAAUGUGCCUCUGUAUAUUCUUCUCGGUCUGCGGCUGAGGAAGACUCUACACCUACAUCGAGCAUCGCGAUGUUCUCUGGGCGGAAGGAAAAGAACAAUGGCAGAGUCACGUGAUGCCCACCAAGCUUCUCUCUGGAAGUGUUCCAGGUCAGAUUACCCUUGGUCCAGAAGCUUAGCUCUGAAUGGUCUGAAGACAAUCAACUCCAUCACGAGAACCUGCAUGAGCAUGUCCUGCCUGUCAUAUCUUAACUUAACCUGUUUGUUCUACUAUUGGCUGUGUGGAUUCUCAUUUCUAUCUUAAACAGUGGACUCUCACUGGCCCAGAGUGAUGGCAGAUCUUUCAAAAUAUCAGAAGGAGAAGUGAGGAGGGGUCUGGGUGAGCCGGUGGCAGUGAGCUGGGUCCUAGCAUUAGCAAUCACGGUCACCGGUGAAAAGAAGAACCAUCGAGAAGAGAAGAGAAAGAACUGGCCUUAGAUCUGCUUGUAGCCAAACUUUUGUUCACACCUACCCCAUGGUUUGUGUAUGUGUCCCUCCGCGCAUGCACAUAGAUGUGCUUGCACACAU